rnacentral:rRNA from 1 species
AUGAACGCUGGCGGCGUGCUUAACACAUGCAAGUCGAACGAAGCAUCCCGCCCGAGGAAAUGGAGUGCUUGCACAAAGUGGACUCAAUUGGGAUGACUGAGUGGCGGACGGGUGAGUAACGCGUGGGUAACCUGCCCUAUACAGGGGGAUAGCAGUUGGAAACGGCUGAUAAUACCGCAUAAGCGCACGGUACCGCAUGGUACAGUGUGAAAAACUCCGGUGGUAUAGGAUGGACCCGCGUCUGAUUAGCUAGUUGGUGAGGUAACGGCCCACCAAGGCGACGAUCAGUAGCCGACCUGAGAGGGUGACCGGCCACAUUGGGACUGAGACACGGCCCAAACUCCUACGGGAGGCAGCAGUGGGGAAUAUUGCACAAUGGGCGAAAGCCUGAUGCAGCGAACCGCCGCGUGAGUGAUGAAGUAUUUCGGUAUGUAAAGCUCUAUCAGCAGGGAAGAUAAUGACGGUACCUGACUAAGAAGCACCGGCUAAAUACGUGCCAGCAGCCGC